UAACUUUUACUUGAGUACUUUAUCAUUUAAAGUAUAUUACUUUUGUAUUUUGUGAUUUCGUUUUUCUCUUUUCGUUAUCUUUUUUAUUAUUUUUUUCAUUAAGUUAGUGAGAAAGUUAAAAUAUCAAAGUACUAAAGUAAAAAUUCGGUAAAUCAUAGAGUACUAAAGUGAAUACUCGAUAAACGAAAUGGCAGGAUGGGUGUUUGAAGUUUUUUCUAUAUGUUUUAGCAAAAAAUUAAUAGAGAUGCUGACGGAUGGAAAAAAACGAAAUGGUAGAGUACUAAAAUAAUACACUUUAAAUAAUAUGAUACUAAAGUGAGAAAAUGCUAAACCAGUGGGGGUAUUCUAAGUUGUUCCUUCUUUAAAGUUGUUGUUGGAGUACAAAACUUAAGGUGAAAAGCAGUUUUUCUACAUAAAAAAUAGGAAUAUUAUAAUAGGUCUCCCUGAAAGCUGUUCUUAUGAACUAUUGCAUAUAAAAUAUGAAGAUAUUUGAUCGAUAAAUAGGCAUUACUUAAAAUUAUUACAUAUAUCUAAUAAUAUAUUAAUAACAUCAAAUUAAUUAAUUUGAAAAAAAAUACAUAAUAUUUUAAUCCAACUUUUUCUUUACCUGUUAGUAUCAAGUACUUCUCGAUACUGAAUAAGAACUCAGAGACUUAAAAAACAAAAUUUGAAAGUGUUUUAGCAAAACAAACUUUGCCGAAAGUGAAGAAAGAUGAAGUUGUUUCCGACCAUAAAAGCUCACUUUCGUUAUUAGGUUCACUAUGAAUAAAAUU
rnacentral:lncRNA from 1 species